rnacentral:lncRNA from 1 species
GGGAACAAUGCAUCCAUAGCCUCUGUGCCCCUUUCAUGCCCUGCCACAAGCAGAAUGGGAAAUGCUUCCAACCAAACUUCUGUUUCAAAGAGUCCCUGUGAACGGGCAUAGUCAUGAUGAAAACUGCCAUUCGCACUCAAAUUACUGCUGCUUUUGUGACUGCUUCUUAUGACCUUGCCAUGACUUGACUUGAUUAUGCUUUUGCAAAUCUCUCUUUACAUAUCUGCAGCUGAGCCUUCUUAAAUCAUUAUACUUCUGAAUUAAGAUGGUGAAUUGAGUAUGAUCUACUAUCAAGUGUCUACAUUUGUAUUGGAUUGACUUAACAUCUCUGGAAAGCCAGAAAUCAGAGAUACAGAGAAGUAUUGAAAUGCUGAAAUGCUAUGAAUUUACUAUAAGAGAACAUUCUUCACUGAAGAGAUCUCUAGCUGCCAAAACACCCUUUCAUGGGUGAAAUACCGGGGCAAGGAGGAAGGAAAAGAGAAGAGUAUGACUCUAGGAACCAUGUUGCAGAA